rnacentral:rRNA from 1 species
UACCUGCAAGUCGAACGGAAACAUGUCUAGCUUGCUAGAUGAUGUCGAGUGGCGGACGGGUGAGUAAUGCUUGGGAACUUGCCUUUGCGAGGGGGAUAACAGUUGGAAACGACUGCUAAUACCGCAUAAUGUCUUCGGACCAAACGGGGCUUCGGCUCCGGCGCAAAGAGAGGCCCAAGUGAGAUUAGCUAGUUGGUGAGGUAAAGGCUCACCAAGGCAACGAUCUCUAGCUGUUCUGAGAGGAAGAUCAGCCACACUGGGACUGAGACACGGCCCAGACUCCUACGGGAGGCAGCAGUGGGGAAUAUUGCACAAUGGGGGAAACCCUGAUGCAGCCAUGCCGCGUGUGUGAAGAAGGCCUUCGGGUUGUAAAGCACUUUCAGUUGUGAGGAAAAGUUAGUAGUUAAUACCUGCUAGCCGUGACGUUAACAACAGAAGAAGCACCGGCUAACUCCGUGCCAGCAGCCGCGGUAAUACGGAGGGUGCGAGCGUUAAUCGGAAUUACUGGGCGUAAAGCGCACGCAGGCGGUUUGUUAAGCUAGAUGUGAAAGCCCCGGGCUCAACCUGGGACGGUCAUUUAGAACUGGCAGACUAGAGUCUUGGAGAGGGGAGUGGAAUUCCAGGUGUAGCGGUGAAAUGCGUAGAUAUCUGGAGGAACAUCAGUGGCGAAGGCGACUCCCUGGCCAAAGACUGACGCUCAUGUGCGAAAGUGUGGGUAGCGAACAGGAUUAGAUACCCUGGUAGUCCACACCGUAAACGCUGUCUACUAGCUGUUUGUGACUUUAAGUCGUGAGUAGCGAAGCUAACGCGAUAAGUAGACCGCCUGGGGAGUACGGCCGCAAGGUUAAAACUCAAAUGAAUUGACGGGGGCCCGCACAAGCGGUGGAGCAUGUGGUUUAAUUCGAUGCAACGCGAAGAACCUUACCUACACUUGACAUGUUGAG